rnacentral:tRNA from 1 species
ACCAGGAUGACCGAGAGGUUAAGGCGUUGGACUUAACAUCCAAUGGACAUGUGUCCUUGUGGGUUCGAACCCCACACCUCGUA